GCCCUGGUGGCUCAGAUGGUAAAGAAUCUGCCUGCAAUGCAGGAGACCCAGGUUUGAUCUCUGGGUUGGGCA
rnacentral:tRNA from 1 species